CAGCAGCCGCGGGAAUACGGGGGGGGCAAGCGUUGCUCGGAAUCAUUGGGUGUAAAGGGUGCGUAGGCGGUUUGACAAGUCAUCUGUGAAAUCUAUGGGCUCAACCCAUAGUCUGCAGGCGAAACUGUCGGGCUUGAGUAUGGGAGAGGUGAGUGGAAUUUCCGGUGGAGCGGUGAAAUGCGUUGAGAUCGGAAGGAACGCCCGUGGCGAAAGCGAGGUCCUGGACGUUUACUGACGCUGAGACGCGAAAGCCAGGGGAGCGAACGGGAUUAGAUACCCCCGUAGUCCCUGUCUCUUAUAC
rnacentral:rRNA from 1 species